AAAAGCACUUUGAAAAGAGAGUGCAAGAGAACGUGAAACCGAUGCAAUGGAAGCGAAUGAAGUCGGCGUAUCUAAUACGUAUUCAGUCGUUGAAUCUUUCGAUCCUUAUUGUUGGAUUUGUUGUUAAAAUGGUCUGCUAUAAGGUUGUUGUUGGGUUCGGCGAUGCACUUACGUAUGGAGUGCAGUGAGUCAAUUGGUAGCAUUGGUUGAAGCUAUUCUUAGAGGGCGCAUUUUUUUAUGCGUAUCCUAGUAUGGUGGAAUAGCCAAUUGAUACUGAUUGAUUUUUAUAUGAAACAAAGGUUUUUUUUAAAAAACGUGUUUGUAUUCAAAGGUUUUUGGUAAUUUUAUAUUGGACGCGUGCGUACGAUAUUUAAUUGCUUUAACAUUUGGAUGCAACUCUCUUUGUUUUUCACUCGCUGUAUAGUCGAUCACUCAUUCGACCCGUCUUGAAACACGGACCAAGGAGUUUAUAGUGUACGCAAGUCAUUGAGUCGUUUCGAAACUCAUAGGCGUAAUAAAAGUGAUAAACCUUACGGUUAAUGGCUAGGAUCAUAGGUUGGAUAAAAUUUUCAACUUUUGCGUACUAGCUUCCCAUUCCGAGGACUUGUCCUGGUGUGGCGAAUGAGCGUACACAAUGAGACCCGAAAGAUGGUGAACUAUGCCUGAACAGGAUGAAGCCAGAGGAAACUCUGGUGGAAGUCCGAAGCGAUUCUGACGUGCAAAUCGAUCGUCUGAUUUUGGUAUAGGGGCGAAAGACUAAUCGAACCAUC
rnacentral:rRNA from 1 species